AACGACCGGCCGGACACGUGUGUGCCCGGCCCGCAAGUGGAGGCUCCGAUCUCCCACCUGACCGUCCUCGCGGACGGCGGGUCACCGGUCAGACGGCCCCCAUCGUUCCGUACGGACGAUGGAGCCGUCCGAUGCGCCCCGCGGUUGACCGCGGCGGUGUUCCGGUAGUUCCUGGAGCCCCGCCUGUGUCCCGUCCGGGGCAUUUUCU
rfam:Streptomyces sp. MMG1522 P406contig33.1, whole genome shotgun sequence.